GGUUGAUCAUAUGUAUGGGUGUGGCUUUGUGCUUGUAUGUAAAUACACACACACACGUACAUAUGGUUU
rnacentral:miRNA from 1 species